CAACCUGAGAGUUUGAUCCUGGCUCAGAGCGAACGCUGGCGGCAGGCCUAACACAUGCAAGUCGAACGAAACCUUCGGGUUUAGUGGCGGACGGGUGAGUAACACGUGGGAACGUGCCCUUUGGUUCGGAACAACUCAGGGAAACUUGAGCUAAUACCGGAUGUGCCCUUCGGGGGAAAGAUUUAUCGCCAUUGGAGCGGCCCGCGUAGGAUUAGCUAGUUGGUGGGGUAAUGGCCCACCAAGGCUCCGAUCCUUAGCUGG
rnacentral:ncRNA from 1 species